rnacentral:rRNA from 1 species
GGGUUGUGAGGUUAAGCGACUAAGCGUACACGGUGGAUGCCCUGGCAGUCAGAGGCGAUGAAGGACGUGCUAAUCUGCGAAAAGCGUCGGUAAGGUGAUAUGAACCGUUACAGCCGGCGAUGUCCGAAUGGGGAAACCCAGUGCAAUUCGUUGCACUAUCGUUAACUGAAUACAUAGGUUAACGAGGCGAACCGGGGGAACUGAAACAUCUAAGUACCCCGAGGAAAAGAAAUCAACCGAGAUUCCCCCAGUAGCGGCGAGCGAACGGGGAGCAGCCCAGAGUCUGAAUCAGCUUGUGUGUUAGUGGAACGGUCUGGAAAGUCCGACGGUACAGGGUGAUAGUCCCGUACACCAAAAUGCACAGGCUGUGAACUCGAAGAGUAGGGCGGGACACGUGGUAUCCUGUCUGAAUAUGGGGGGACCAUCCUCCAAGGCUAAAUACUCCUGACUGACCGAUAGUGAACCAGUACCGUGAGGGAAAGGCGAAAAGAACCCCGGCGAGGGGAGUGAAAAAGAACCUGAAACCGUGUACGUACAAGCAGUGGGAGCACCUUCGGGUGUGACUGCGUACCUUUUGUAUAAUGGGUCAGCGACUUAUAUUCUGUAGCAAGGUUAACCGUAUAGGGGAGCCGCAGGGAAACCGAGUCUUAACUGGGCGUUAAGUUGCAGGGUAUAGACCCGAAACCCGGUGAUCUAGCCAUGGGCAGGUUGAAGGUUGGGUAACACUAACUGGAGGACCGAACCGACUAAUGUUGAAAAAUUAGCGGAUGACUUGUGGCUGGGGGUGAAAGGCCAAUCAAACCGGGAGAUAGCUGGUUCUCCCCGAAAGCUAUUUAGGUAGCGCCUCGUGAACUCAUCUUCGGGGGUAGAGCACUGUUUCGGCUAGGGGGUCAUCCCGACUUACCAACCCGAUGCAAACUACGAAUACCGAAGAAUGUUAUCACGGGAGACACACGGCGGGUGCUAACGUCCGUCGUGAAGAGGGAAACAACCCAGACCGCCAGCUAAGGUCCCAAAGUCAUGGUUAAGUGGGAAACGAUGUGGGAAGGCACAGACAGCCAGGAUGUUGGCUUAGAAGCAGCCAUCAUUUAAAGAAAGCGUAAUAGCUCACUGGUCGAGUCGGCCUGCGCGGAAGAUGUAACGGGGCUAAACCAUGCACCGAAGCUGCGGCAGCGACACUAUGUGUUGUUGGGUAGGGGAGCGUUCUGUAAGCCUGCGAAGGUGUGCUGUGAGGCAUGCUGGAGGUAUCAGAAGUGCGAAUGCUGACAUAAGUAACGAUAAAGCGGGUGAAAAGCCCGCUCGCCGGAAGACCAAGGGUUCCUGUCCAACGUUAAUCGGGGCAGGGUGAGUCGACCCCUAAGGCGAGGCCGAAAGGCGUAGUCGAUGGGAAACAGGUUAAUAUUCCUGUACUUGGUGUUACUGCGAAGGGGGGACGGAGAAGGCUAUGUUAGCCGGGCGACGGUUGUCCCGGUUUAAGCAUGUAGGCUGGUUAUCCAGGCAAAUCCGGAUAAUCAAGGCUGAGGUGUGAUGACGAGGCACUACGGUGCUGAAGUAACAAAUGCCCUGCUUCCAGGAAAAGCCUCUAAGCAUCAGGUAACAUCAAAUCGUACCCCAAACCGACACAGGUGGUCAGGUAGAGAAUACCAAGGCGCUUGAGAGAACUCGGGUGAAGGAACUAGGCAAAAUGGUGCCGUAACUUCGGGAGAAGGCACGCUGGUGUGUAGGUGAAGUCCCUGCGGAUGGAGCUGAGACCAGUCGAAGAUACCAGCUGGCUGCAACUGUUUAUUAAAAACACAGCACUGUGCAAACACGAAAGUGGACGUAUACGGUGUGACGCCUGCCCGGUGCCGGAAGGUUAAUUGAUGGGGUUAUCCGUAAGGAGAAGCUCUUGAUCGAAGCCCCGGUAAACGGCGGCCGUAACUAUAACGGUCCUAAGGUAGCGAAAUUCCUUGUCGGGUAAGUUCCGACCUGCACGAAUGGCGUAAUGAUGGCCAGGCUGUCUCCACCCGAGACUCAGUGAAAUUGAACUCGCUGUGAAGAUGCAGUGUACCCGCGGCAAGACGGAAAGACCCCGUGAACCUUUACUAUAGCUUGACACUGAACAUUGAGCCUUGAUGUGUAGGAUAGGUGGGAGGCUUUGAAGCGUGGACGCCAGUCUGCGUGGAGCCAACCUUGAAAUACCACCCUUUAAUGUUUGAUGUUCUAACGUUGGCCCCUUACCGGGGUUGCGGACAGUGUCUGGUGGGUAGUUUGACUGGGGCGGUCUCCUCCCAAAGCGUAACGGAGGAGCACGAAGGUUAGCUAAUCCUGGUCGGACAUCAGGAGGUUAGUGCAAUGGCAUAAGCUAGCUUGACUGCGAGCGUGACGGCGCGAGCAGGUGCGAAAGCAGGUCAUAGUGAUCCGGUGGUUCUGAAUGGAAGGGCCAUCGCUCAACGGAUAAAAGGUACUCCGGGGAUAACAGGCUGAUACCGCCCAAGAGUUCAUAUCGACGGCGGUGUUUGGCACCUCGAUGUCGGCUCAUCACAUCCUGGGGCUGAAGUAGGUCCCAAGGGUAUGGCUGUUCGCCAUUUAAAGUGGUACGCGAGCUGGGUUUAGAACGUCGUGAGACAGUUCGGUCCCUAUCUGCCGUGGGCGCUGGAGAAUUGAGGGGGGCUGCUCCUAGUACGAGAGGACCGGAGUGGACGCAUCACUGGUGUUCGGGUUGUCAUGCCAAUGGCACUGCCCGGUAGCUAAAUGCGGAAGAGAUAAGUGCUGAAAGCAUCUAAGCACGAAACUUGCCCCGAGAUGAGUUCUCCCUGAGACUUUAAGUCUCCUGAAGGAACGUUAAAGACGAUGACGUUGAUAGGCCGGGUGUGUAAGCGCAGCGAUGCGUUGAGCUAACCGGUACUAAUGAACCGUGAGGCUUAACCUUACAACGCCGAAG